GGGCCUAUAGCUCAAAGGAUUAGAGCAUGUGGCUGCAAACCUUGGUGUCAAGGGUCAUUUUUGGAUCUAGACCAAAUAGGUUCA
rnacentral:tRNA from 1 species